GCGCUUAGGUUAGACUUUCAAACCAAGAGCCUUCAAAGCACUAAACAGGGUUUAAUUCCCUAGUGCCCG
rnacentral:tRNA from 1 species